CCACUUCCUGGUUCCCUAGAUUCACAUCUGUGUCCCCUGGUGGGAGUUCACGGGAUUUGGGUCACAGUUCACCAUGUUUGUCGAGUCAGCCGGUAAUAGGGACCAUGCUUCCCCGACGAGGGGACUGUGUGUUGUGAGGUCUCGACGUGGAUCGUUGAUCUUCAGUAUACCUGCUCUAUUGGUGAGAUGCAGGAGUGGCAAGGUUUGGAUAUGGAUACAAUGUACUCCGAUAGCUGUGAUUCUCAAACACGUGACUUUAGGGAUUUGUACCGCAUGGAGUAUUCCGACAAUAACUUCAUGUCAAUUCCGGUCUCCCUUUAAAUAUGACAAUGUGUGAUUGUUGGGAAAAGAACGUUUGGUGAUAGUGGCAAAAGAGAAGAGGGUUGCCUGGACUGGGAGGAGUACUUCAUGGCCACUGCAUUUCUGUCUGGAAUGAGAAGCAAAGAUCCUCUGACGCAGGUCGGAGCGUGUAGUGUCAAUCUUAAGAAAAGGAUCGUCGGGACAGGUUACAAUGGGAUGCCCAACAACUGUAGCGAUCGAUUGUUACCCUGGGGUAAGGACAAGAGGGACGACAGCAAGCUUGGAGUUAAAUAUUAUUACGAGCUCUGGUGAUCGUCACAUCAGGAUGUCAGUUAGAUCUGGAGACCUGCCAUAACAUGAAUAAUACUGGAGAAGAAAGACGAUUUACACGUCCAUUCCUUUUUUGAAAUAACCAGCUUAUGUGAAUUUUGGCAGUGGACACAACGCAAAUGUAAAUAGGUAGGUGUUCCUUGGUAGAAUUGUACCUUCUGCGUCUGACAGUGAAGCCCUUGACUAGAGUGGGACUGUUUCGAAUGCAUGUACAUAUUACAUGUAGAGUUUUUCCAUUUUAUUCCUUAUAACAUCCGCCAACAAAUCCGCAAGAACCACUUGACUGCCUUCAUUUCGUAUCUACUGUACACGACGCCUCUGUGUCAUAUAUAAACUCUAAAUGAUCAACGUUGCCAGUGAUGCGGCCAAAUCUGCAACCGUGCAACAUUUGUGGAGGUUUACUGAGGCUUUGAAUGUUGUGACACUCAGCAAUCACCUUUUGAGCAAGAGUAGUGUGAUGAAAGUUGGUAGAUAGAGCCCCGGAUGUGAAAAGCUGCAGCUGGAACUGGUGGGAUGCUACUCGACAUGGAGGGAACUACUUCUGGAAAAAUGUUGUUAUCCGACUUAGUCCUCAGGAUAGUUUAUAGUCAAGACAACGCUCGAUAUCGACUUGAGAUAAACAAUUCACCUGUUCAGACAUGUAACAAUACAAUUUGUAUAUCAGAGAGUGAUCUUUUUAUACACUUGACAAUUGUUUUGAAAAAUCACUUCGCAUACAACUACUUUACCAAUUGUGCAUAAUGUGUUUUAGAAAGUUCAUCCUUUUCAGGAUCUGCUAAAAUCAUCCCACUCGUCAAACGGUCACGUGGAGAGGCU